CCAGAGAUGGAUUGGUGCCUUCGGGAACUCUGACACAGGUGCUGCAUGGCUGUCGUCAGCUCGUGUCGUGAGAUGGUUGGGUUAACGUCCCGUAACGAGCGCACCUUGUCCUUAGUUACCAGCACGUUAUGGUGGGCACUCUAAGGAGACUGCCGGUGACAAACCGGAGGAAGGUGGGGAUGACGUCAAGUCAUCAUGGCCCUUACGGCCUGGGCUACACACGUGCUACAAUGGUCGGUACAAAGGGUUGCCAAGCCGCGAGGUGGAGCUAAUCCCAUAAAACCGAUCGUAGUCCGGAUCGCAGUCUGCAACUCGACUGCGUGAAGUCGGAAUCGCUAGUAAUCGUGAAUCAGAAUGUCACGGUGAAUACGUUCCCGGGCCUU
rnacentral:rRNA from 1 species